UUAAGGGAUAUUCCUUAGUAAAAUGUUCUGAUCAUCUUGGAAGCCCUGCUGGUAAAACAAAGAUGAAAAUAUCUUCAUUUAUCACUAUAUUACAUCAACACGGACAGGCUGUGUUUGCACCUUGGUUCCACCAUUCAGUGACUGUGUGUCUUGGACAGCUUACUUAAACUUGCCGCAUUUUUGGCUUCUCAUCUGUGAAGUGAGCAGCUGCCAAAGGUCAUCUGACAUAAUAGCUGAUGAAUUCAAGCCCAGUGGAUUUCAUUUGCAAUUUUCAAUUUACUGAGGCCUCCAAACCCCACGGUGAUAAAAGCUUCCCCUAUCGUGGCCUGUCACAAACAUCAAGAAACUGCACAAACCCACAAGAAAGAAAAAAGAGGGAGCUGUGCAUCAUCACAGCUAUAGAUAAGGAGAACAGGAAGAAAUGGCAUCAAGCAGGAAGGUGGGGAGCAGCCUGUGUGGCUAGUUCUCUAAAUGCCAAUUGAAAGGAAAAGACUAUGAGGACCAAUCAAAUAACUUCCACAGAAUAACAACAUGUUUCUUUGGAGCUUUUGUGUGAAAACUGCCUUCUAAUCUCUGACGUGACAUGCUCCCACACAAAAGUGUAAGUGUAAAUAUGCAAAUAAGUAAAUGAAUAAAUUGUCCUUGCUUACCUGGUCAUUGGAAAGCAUGCUGUCUAUGCUGUAUUUACCAUAGUUUUUCUUUACAAAAUGCGUGCUCUCUAAUCAUGGAAGUGUAGGCUCAGCACUGAGAAAUCAAUUUUCUUAAUUUUUUUUGCAGAGAAAUGGUAGAUCUUUUGAUUGAUUUGCCAGGGAAGUCAAAGGACUGACACAGCAACUGCUUGUAAGGGGAUCUAGAUGUGGUACAUAUCAAAGAUGCAUUAGCAAGAAGAAGAAAGCCAUUUUCCCCCUUAUCAAAGUAUUUACAAUGAACUUAGGCAGGAUUAGGAGCUGACUCCUCUUCCCAGGCAAUUGUUCAAAUUGAGGAAACCACACGUGUGUUUCUUGGAGAAUGGCAAGUUUGAUGACUCAGCAGGUCACCUUCAUCCGACCCUACUUGACUCACACCAUUGCCUGGCAAAGAAGAAAGCAAAGAGAUGUCCACUGUUAGAGGUGGAGCUGCUGGGAGAAUUCCAUUUCAAACAUGGAUGUCUUGAUCCUAUUUCUGCCAAAUAGAUUCAGGAAGGCUUAUGAAGUGUGUCUGGUGCGGUAAGAGGACUUGGCAGUCGUCAUGUGCUAAUCUGCCGAAUGCCAAAAUUUCUGAUGACCCUUGACAAGAAAACCUGAGAAUGAUAUCAACAGGACCAGAAUGUUAACUUUGUUUGUGUGUUGCUGACUGUGUGGCAAUCAGAGUUUGGAAGGGAAAAGAGAGUAAUUCCUGGUGGAACUCAUACGACAGUGACAGGUUGCCUACUGUAGAGUUAGACUUUAAAUUGUCACAGCAAAAAUGAAAGUAGGAGCUAUUUAUUGUAAGUGAACUCUGAGUUCUUUGAAAUUAAACUGUUUCUUAAGAUUCUUCUAUUAGCAGAAAGUUUAACAGCCUUUUAAUUCUUCAAAGUCUCAAAAUAGAAAAUAGUUUCCUCGGUAGUUGAAAAUGGCAGGAAUUAACAUUUUGAAAUAAGAGAAAUAAAACUUUAUUCUAAAGCUGCACAAAAUGUGGAAAGAAACAAUACUUUAGCAUUCUAGUAUUUUUCCCCUACACAAAAUUAUGCCAUUUUUAAGGUUGCUUUCACCCCACCUUUUUUUUUUUUUCAGGUUCAGUGACAGCUCUCUCUGAUUUGCAUUUUCCAUGGAUUCUCUUUCAAUUGAUAGCAUAAUACUGAGACCCCACUGGUGGUAAAAUAUUAUUUAAUGGGAUCUUAAUUUAGACCGUCUUCUCAAAAAUACACACAAUUUGGUAAGAGCUUUUCAUUAUCACUGUUGUUCUAUGGCAGUGAUAUAAGGCAAGCUGUACCAAUUGGUCUGCAGUUACAUAGCAUAAAGGUUAAUCUCUUUUAUGCUCUUUUUACUAGAAAGGCAGAUCUGAAUCUUCAAGGCAGAGUCCUAAAUUGUUCUUGUAGAUGGAUUUGUUCACAAAGACUCUUCACUCUAAUAUCCUAUGGAUAAUUAUAGUCAGUCAGCCCAGAGUAUUCACUAUAGUUUGAAUGGUACGAAAAGAGCAUUUCUCAUUUCAUUAAUUAAUUCUUUCAUCCCUUUAUGUAGCAUUUAUUUAGCGCCUACUAAGCACAGGUUAUCUUGAGGACUAUAAGUAAGACUUUUCCCACUUUCAAGCAGUUUGCAAAAGACAGGAGUAAAGAAUUUUAAAUUUAUCUUCUUUCUUACCCCCACCCCCAGAACUGAAUUGUCAUAUACCUGUUAAAACUUUAAAUAAUAAAAAAAUUAUACUGAGAAUUUGACCUUGGAUAUCUGGAUAACAUCUUAUUUUGUGUUUCCCAUUUUUUGGUAAUAUGCGCAUCACCAUAACUUUUUUUUUUUUCCAAAUCGAUAUACAAUCUAUUCUUACUUACUAAAUAACUUUUCUUUGAAUUCAGCUUUAAAAAGUUAAAUAAAUUAAGUUAGGAAGGCAUCAUUAGAUAUACUACCACAAAUGGAAAGACUGUAUCACAAGCUAUGAAUAAAAAAUAAUUAUAAAUAAAAGUGUAUAACUCUUAUUAUUGUAUCAGCACCUACAUUAUCUCAUGUUUCGUGGGCAGUAAAAGCAUCACUCUGGAAAAUACUGGCUUUGUGCAUGUGCUGGUAAAGAUGACUGUUGCAGAUUUGACUGCCAUAAGAACGGGAGCUCUGUGAGAACAAGUACUUUGAGCUUUUUCUUGCUGUACUCCAGCUGCUAGAACAAUGCCUAGCAAAUAUGUGAUGCUAAAACAUACUUUUAAAAUAAAUAAGAGCCAGUUAGCUUCUGAAAGAUCAAGUUGUAUCUCUCCUGUAGCCAUACUCCUUGUGCUUUGUAACAAUUACUUGAAUGUUUCUCAUAAUCACUGCACUUGUCAAAAGCUUUGUUUUUCUUGUUCACUUCUGUUAUAAUCAUUAAUGCCUAGAAUUACGUCAGGAACAUAGUAGGUGCUUAACAAAUAUUCAUUGAGCAAAGAGGCUUGCCAUUCUAAAGUCAUACAGUUUCUGCUGCCUCCCUGGUCAUUUUUAAUUAAAGGAGCUCAAUUGGGCCAAUAUUGGCUUAAAGCUAUUCAACAUCUGGCACACUAAAAAAAAAACUUAGUUGAAUAAAGGAAAGAACAUUUUUGUG